ACUGCUGGGGUGACUAGAAUCAAGAAGACUUAUAGGGUUCUAACGACUGAACUUCAUAAUAACUAUGGGGCGGAAAUCGACAAAAGGGAAAGAAAGGAAAAAGAAACGAAAGGAGGAAAAUGCCAAGUACGAUGCAGCCCUGGCAAAAGUGGAAGCAGCAAACAAGGUGCGUACAAGUCAUAGAAAUGUU